CUGUCUGUCCCUCCGGGCAGCUCCUGCAGCACCGCCGCGGCUCUGCUGUCACGUUUAAUUCUAUUUUCUAUAUUUUAUUCACAGCUCCCACCCCGCUCGGCGCAGCCCUUCUGGCCACCCCCGACACCGCCCGUUCAGUGACACGGGGCGGGGGGACCCCUCGGUGCAGCCUUUUAUUCUGUUUUACUCUAUUUCUUGUCUUUUCUUCUGUUCCCACGCUCGCUGCGGCUCUUUCAGACGUGGGCGGUGGGAACCCCUCGCAGCGAUUUUAACGCCCCCGCGGAGCCAAGAAAUGCCGGGAAACAGUUUCGACGCGCGCAGCUGCUUUUCCUGCCAGUCCCCGGCACAUUUUACAAGCAGUAACACAAAUGGGCUGUGCCAGCGCUCGGUGCCCCUGGGCUCCAAACUGCCGGGGCAGGAGCCACUGGGUACAAUCCUGAGAUACCUUUCCCCACUUCCCUCAUCACGACUGUUGAGCUUUUCUUCACGGAAAUAAUUCCCCUUGGCAAUGAAAGGCUGUAUAACAAGGUCAUAAGUACUAUUAUGUCAAUAUUUGUGCUUGGUUGGGUGCAUUCCGGUCCAUCUUUUAUGGUAUUUAAAGUGCAGAGCCUCCAUCCCAGCCUUAUGAGCAACCACGUGGGACCCCUUCAGCCAACAGCCUCCCCCUGGGUUUCUCAGAUGUCACAAUGCUGGUCAUACAUCCCCAAGAGCUUCUCAUUUCUUCUGGCUCCAAACUGUGCAGCUUUCACGAGGUGACAGUUUGGAAUAAUUCUGUCCCCUGCCCGGGUGAGGAGGGGGGUGACAGAGCAGCAUCUGGCACCAACCAGGGCCAGCCCAUCACAGAUCCCUUGGUUGGGAACUCUUAAAUAUUUGUAAGUAAGCAAGGUGCAAAAAAUGGACUUUGUUCCUUCAAAAAUGAACCACACUGAGAGUUGUUGGAGAACAGCAAAACAGCCAAAGAGCUGUAAACUGAAAACCACGCCUCUGUGUUUGACUCCCGUCCUGUCUGUGGCUCAACAGACUCAGUUCCGAGAAAUCAGCCACCCAUUGACAGCUGCCCUGCGAGCCCCUUGUUGCUGACAGGGGUUGCUUCUCAGGAAGAGAAAUGAGAAAAUCGUGGUGAAAAGAGGCUGCUGAAUGCAUCCACCCCACAGAGCCCAGGGAAUGUCAGCCCUGGGCCCUGAGACUUCUGUGCCACGAUGGGGAAGGGAAUCCAAGAGCCAAAUUCUUCAAUCCAGGAAGAAACAUUGUACACCUACGGCCAUCCAGAGAAACAGUGCAAAUGGGGGUCCUACAGAACCGAGUCAGACUGGAGAACAUCCCCCAAGGUGCCUGUUCUCGCUCUGAGUGUGUCCCUGGGGAUCCUCACCUUCAGCCUGCUCAUGGCACUGACUGUUCUCAGUGUGAGAUGCCAGUUCUCUGAGCCGGAAUUCUCCCACGUGUGCCCAGACACCUGACCUGGUUUCCAAGGAAAAUGCUAUUAUUUUUCUGAGCCUGAGGGCAACUGGACCAUGGGCCAGGAAAGGUGUGAGGCCCUGGGAGCUUCCCUGGCCACCAUAAGCACGAGGGAGGAACUGGCCUUCCUUCUGCGCUAUAAAGGCGAAGCAAACCACUGGAUCGGGCUGGGAAUGAGGGAUAACGGCUGGGAGUGGAUCAAUGGCACGGCCUUGAACGGCAGGUUUGAGGUGCGGGGUGAGGGACCCUGUGGGUACCUGUACUAUUGGUGGAUCAGCUCGUCCCUGUGCCACACGGAGAAGAACUGGAU